AUGAUGAAGCUACCAGGGAGGCAUUAUUGGGUCUUCAAUGUCAACUUGAGGGACGGACGCUUCAAAGUUCUUGACUCAAACAGGACGCUGGACAACAUUGAGCUGAUGACCACCGCCUCUACCAUCGCGGGGGCAGUACGCCAGCUAUGGAGGAAGCAUUACCCAAAGUUCAGCAUCGAGCACUUCCAGAUUAUUGACAUUGACGUACCGAAGCAGCUUGGCAAUAAUGAGUGUGGGCUGUUCGCACUGCUUAACGCCACCGAGUGGAACGGUAGCCAACUGCCCAACUACGAACCCAAGGAAGUACUCAACAUCAGGAAGAAGCUGACAUAUGAUUGGGUCACCAGCGUGCACAACACCGCCCCAUGGAGGAAGUUGCUGAGAUAUGACAAGGACUAG
rnacentral:rRNA from 1 species